UUAUAUGCAAUGAAAGGAAAUAGUAGAUACAUUGAUAUCUUAAGAGAGUCAAUGGUAGGUGAGAAUUGAUGUUAUUGAGUAUCGAAUCCGUCCUAGAGCAUUUUAUCGAAGAGAUAAAACCCCAGCAGUGGGAUAUUCUGCACAGAGUGAACUUUUAUAUAAAGGUUAACUAGGGUGGCAACGCGGGCAAUCUCUCGUCCCUAAU
rnacentral:ncRNA from 1 species